rnacentral:rRNA from 1 species
AUUGAACGCUAGCGGGAUGCUUUACACAUGCAAGUCGAACGAGUGGCGGACGGGUGAGUAAUAUAUCGGAACGUGCCCAGUAGCGGGGGAUAACUACUCGAAAGAGUGUCUAAUACCGCAUACUAUUCGAGUGGCCGAUAUCGGAUUAGCUAGUUGGUGGGGUAAAGGCUCACCAAGGCAACGAUCCGUAGCUGGUUUGAGAGGACGACCAGCAACACUGGAACGGGGCAAGGGCCCGGAUUCCUACGGGAGGCAGAAGUGGGGAAUUUUGGACAAGGGGGGAAACCCUGAUCCAGACAUCCCGCGUGUAUGAGAAGGCCUUCGGGUUGUAAAGUACUUUUGGCAGAGAAGCGGUAUCUGCAGAAUAAGCACCGGCUAACUACGUGCCAGCAGCCGCGGUAAUUC